rnacentral:tRNA from 1 species
AGGGAUGUAGUUAAGUAUAACAUUUGAUUUGCAUUCAAAAAGUAUUGUUCCAAUCUUCCUUA